UACGUAGGUCGCAAGCGUUGUCCGGAUUUACUGGGCGUAAAGAGCGCGCAGGCGGUCGUGCAAGCCGCGUGUGAAAGCCCCCGGCUCAACUGGGGAGGGUCACGCGAUACUGCUCGACUCGAAGGCAGGAGAGGGUAGUGGAAUUCCCGGUGUAGUGGUGAAAUGCGUAGAUAUCGGGAGGAACACCAGUGGCGAAGGCGACUACCUGGCCUGUUCUUGACGCUGAGGCGCGAAAGCUAGGGGAGCAAACGGG
rnacentral:rRNA from 1 species